UGGUGCACCUGCGCCAUCUUUGUUUUUGCCUCUGCUACGGAGAACUUGGAGACUGUCAAGUACUUUGUAAGACAGAAACCUUUAUUGUAUUAUGCCUCUGAGAUUUCAUGGUUAAGGUCUUCCUGCAAACUAGUUCGGUCUGUCCUAAUACAUGCCUCCCUCCCGCCCCCCACCCCUUCCAUGUUGCCCCAAGACACCUUCUGGGCAUAGCUAAUGUAAGAAAGAGAAACCUCCUUCCCAAACUUGCAUUGUGCCUUUCUGUUUUACCUGGGGUAUGUCAGGCUUCCUCAUCAGCAACUGGGAGGGUCGGCCUGCUUGGGUCACGUGCCCACCCCUCCCAGGGUCACUGAGUAGCGGGAUUGGGGCGUUUUGAUUGGCCAUCCUGGGCUGUGGAGGUGGGGCCAUAUGAUUGACAGUCCCAGCAGGGGAACGAGACAAUUUGGGAAAAGAAAAGAUUCCAAGCAGCUGAAAACAUCUAUUGCAAAUGCUGUUCCUUGCACCACCGUGAGCCAGACAGCUAGAAUGGCUCAGAUAUUUCAAGAAGACCUUACCGCCAGGGCCCCAGGAAAGCUGUCUGGCUAGAGAGAGGGUGUGUGAGCAGGCAAAAGGGCCGGAGGGAAAGAGAGAAUCCUAAGGAGGCUGCACACUCAGCAUGGAGCCCGUGCUUGAUCCCACAACUCUGGGAUCAUGACCUGAGCCAAAAUCAACAAUCAGAUGCUCAAUCGACUGAGCCACCCAGGCGCCCUUAAUGGCUGUGGUUUAGUCCAUGCCAAAGUGUCCUUUCGUCUGGAGACCAAGCCUUCAUCCUCUGCUAGCAACCUUGCUCCAAGAUUUUUCCACCAGAGAGGUUCCCAGGAUCCUCUACCCUGGACCCCUCCCAGUCUGCUUGAAGUCCAGAAGAAGGCAGAGUAGAGGGAGCAAGCCGCCUCUGAGAUUUAGCACGGCUCUAAAAUUUCACAAGCUCCAACUUUGUCCUUGAAGAUUUGCUCUCUGCUAUGGUCUGAAUGUUUGUGUCCCCCAUCAAUUCAUAUGUUAUAACCCUAAGCCCCAGUGUGAUGAUAUUAAGAGGUGGGGGCCCUUGGGGUGAUAAGGCCAUGAGAGCAUUCCCUCGGGAUGGGGUUAGCGUCUCACAAAAAAGGUCUGAGAGAGCUCCCUCUGCACUUCCAUCACGUGAGGACACCGUGAGAAGGCAAUGGCCAUGAACCGGGAAGGGGGCCCUCACCAGAACAUGACCAUGUUGGAGCCUCAAUCUUGGACUUUUGGCCUCCAGAACUGCAAGAAAAAUAAACUUCUGUUGUUUAUCAAC